rnacentral:rRNA from 1 species
GUGGGGUAACGGCCCACCAAGGCUUCGACGGGUAGCUGGUCUGAGAGGACGAUCAGCCACACUGGGACUGAGACACGGCCCAGACUCCUACGGGAGGCAGCAGUGGGGAAUCUUGCGCAAUGGGCGAAAGCCUGACGCAGCAACGCCGCGUGGGGGAUGAAGGCUCUCGGGUCGUAAACCCCUUUCAGCAGGGACGAAACUGACGGUACCUGCAGAAGAAGCCCCGGCCAACUACGUGCCAGCAGCCGCGGUAACACGUAGGGGGCAAGCGUUGUCCGGAUUUAUUGGGCGUAAAGAGCUCGUAGGUGGUUCGGUAAGUCAGGUGUGAAACCUCCAGGCUCAACCUGGAGACGCCACUUGAUACUGCCGUGACUGGAGUCCGGUAGGGGAGCGUGGAAUUCCUGGUGUAGCGGUGAAAUGCGCAGAUAUCAGGAGGAACACCAGCGGCGAAGGCGGCGCUCUGGGCCGGUACUGACACUGAGGAGCGAAAGCGUGGGUAGCAAACAGGAUUAGAUACCCUGGUAGUCCACGCCGUAAACGUUGGGCACUAGGUGUGGGUCUCAACCAACGGGAUCUGUGCCGUAGCUAACGCAUUAAGUG